rnacentral:lncRNA from 1 species
GCCUGUGACCAUAAGAAAUCGCGGAGCCACCCAUUAAUAGUAAUAGAACUCUGCGCAAAGUUUUCUCCCGUGAUAUGAGUUACUACCCCUUGAUUACUUAUACUACCCCAAACAUCUGACUUAUACUACCCCAAACAUCUGACUGCAUUUUCCAACUGAAAUGGAAUAUUACUACCAAAAUUGAAUUGUACUUCCAGAAUAGUCCUAAGAACACAUGAUCCCAGGCCGAUACUUAACAUGUACCCCCUCUUCCAGGUCCAUCACAAGGAAAACAAAAACCAAGAUUUGCCUUAUCUGGUAUCAAAUGAGAACUGCGAGCAAAUAGACCUCCUUUCAAGAGUAUCAAUACCGUUACAUGAAUCGUAAAUGCAUGAAUGUGAUGUACCAAGAAAUCGGCGGUUCCUAAUAGAAUAGGCAACAAAGCCACCUUGCCACCCACUGCCACUAAAUCACCACCCCCAAGUUAAACUGGUGCUUGCUGUUGCACCAAGAGUCGUUGCCCUAGGUGCUAAAGCAUGGGUGUUUUGUAUCCAUUGAGCAAAAACGGGUUGUAAUUGUAUAGAGGUAUCUGAAAACAUAUCUUGAGGAUGCCCUAAAGCGCUCAUGGUAUCAUUAUGAAUAUACAAACAAAAACUAUGAAAGCCUAGAAAAAUACAUGCCCAGUUGAGAUGGGAUAUGAUUGCAUCACGAUGCCUAAGGACAUGAUCUAAUAGAUCGUUGUACCGAAUAGUUGGAUCAUAAUCUCUUACCAUAAAAAUGGUUACAUGCGUGGCAGCACCAACUAUAAGAAAUCCACCAAUCCACAUGUGAUAUGUGAACAAUAACAGUUGUGUACCAUAGUCAGCAGCUAAAUAUGGAUAAGGGGGCAUGGAAUACAUAUGAUGAGCUACAACAAUGGUUAAAGAGCCUAACAUAGCUAAGUUAAGAGAUAAUUGAGCAUGCCAUGACGUUGUUAGGAUCUCAUAUAAGCCUUUAUGGCCCUGACCUGUAAAUGGACCUUUAUGGGCUUCUAAAAUAUCUUUUAGUCCAUGACCAAUACCCCAAUUGGUUUUAUACAUGUGACCCGCUACCAGGAAAAAAAUUGCAAUAGCUAAAUAGUAAUGGACAAUAUCAGUCAGCCACAGACCCCCAGUUACUGGAUCUAAUCCUCCACAAAAAGUAAGAAAGUCCGUAUAUUUUGACCAAUUCAAGGUGAAAAAUGGAGCUGCUCCCUCGGCAAAACUGGGAUAAAGUUGAGCCAAAAGAUGUCGAUUCAAGAUAAAUUCAUGAGGAAGUGGUAUCUCUUUAGGAUCUACUCCAGCUUUUAGAAAUUGGUUAGUCGGUAAAGAUACGUGUACUUGAUGCCCCGCCCAAGAAAGAGACCCAAGUCCUAGUAGCCCUGCCAAAUGGUGAUUCAGCAUAGAUUCUACAUCUUGAAACCAAGCCAAUUUUGGCGCCGCUUUAUGAUAAUAAAACCAACCAGCAAAAGCAUUAACGCUGCAAAGACCAAUGCCCCAAUUGUUGUACAAUAGAAUUGUAAUUCACUAGUUAUUCCAGAUACUCACCAAAUCUGAAAAAAACCAAAGGUUAUUUGUAUUUCUCGGAAACCCCCGCCUACGUCACCAUUUAAUAUUUCUUGGCCCACUAUUGGCCAAACCACCUAGGCACUAGGCCCAAUAUGAGUAGGAUCACUUAGCCACGCUUCAUAAUUAGAAAAAUGAGCACCGUGGAAAUACAUGCUGCUCAGCCAAAGAAAGAUGAUGGAGAGUUGACCGAAAUGUGCACUAAAUACUUUUCAAGAGAUCUCCUCCAAAUCACUGGUAUGGCUAUCAAAAUCAUGAGCAUUAGCAUGUAGGUUCCAGAUCCAAGUGGUAGUAUCAGGCCCUUUAGCUAUUGUUCUUGAGAAAUGACCCGAUCUGGCCCUUUCCUCGAAAGAAGUUUUUACGGGAUCCCUAUCUACCAAAAUUUUAACUUCUGGUUCCGGCAAAUGAAUAAUCAUUGAGUCCUCCUCUUUCCGAACAGCACAUACAAAGAGACUCGCCAACAGUCAAAUAAUUAGUGACCCUUAGAGAUAGAGAGAUAUUUCUAUAAUUAGUUCGUUUCUAUUCUAUUUUUAUAUCUUUCAUCUAUCUAUUUUCUUUAGUUAUUUACUAGAGCAAUUAUGAUCUAGAAGUCGAUCUGGGGAAAGUGUUAAGAUCUAUUAUGACAUAGCCUUGAGGCGCUCAACGGACCCUUUAACCAUUUAAAAACCUUUUUGGGCUUUGGAUUGAUCCAAAAAUAACUUUUUUGUGCAACCUAGUGUAUAUUCAUAGAAGUUAUUAGAUGGAGCUCUUUAAUUUUUUACCUAGAAGAUUGUAAUUACUCUAUUCCAAAUCAUGCUAGUAGCCAUUAGACAUUAAUAAGAGACAUCCCCGGUAUAUAUAUAUAUUUAGUGAUUCAAGGGUCUUUUAUUAGUUUUAAUACUAAUAACUAAUAAGAAUUUUGUUUAAUUGAAUUUUUUCAUUUUAAUAUUUUUUAAUUU